UUUAACUUGUUCAGAAUCAGUUGCAAUAAACCAGGUGGUUUUGCAUUGCUCAUGCAAAUCACUUUCUCCUCACACAUGGCUACAGUCCCAGCUGCCAAAAUGUUGUCAUGUUCUUGUCUUCAGAGCCUUAAUAAGAAGAAAAAAUACAGUCUGGAGCAUGUAUGUGCUCAACACUCCCCCUGGUAAUCACUAAGCCUGUGUGGCCACUACUAACCUGUCAACAGCCAGCUCUUCCUGAGCCAGACAAGGACAAGGAUGGGGGUGAAGAGCAAGGGGCCCCAGCUCCUUGGGCCACAGAUUCUGCCAACCUACUCUGGGUAUGGCCUUAUGAGAGCCACAGAACCUCAGGUAUGGAGACUCAAAUCCCAAAUUCUGGUCCUGCCUUUAUAUCACUGACUAGAUUUGGGGUCUAAUAGUGCUGUAGUACCCUAAUUUUUGUGAGCAUUAACAGUGAGACAAUCAGAGACCAUCAGACUCAAGAUUCCUAGUUGGUGUUACUUCAUGGUGCAGAAAACGAUAAUAUUGGGAGUAACUGUAAAAGGUUACUUGUGGCCAAAUAUGACCUCUAGAGGGUUCUGACCACACAGCCUCUGCUCCUCCCCCUUGUGGCUAAGAGAUCAAUGUCUCCAUGGUAAACGAGUUGACCACACCCAUACUCGUGGCCCUCCCAGCGAGACGAUUAUCCUUCCUCACUUGUGGCCGUGCCUCUUGCUUUGGCCAACAAGAUGUGAGCAGAAGAGACAGGUUGCAGCCAGGCAGGAUCUUUUCGAGCCAGUGCAUGCUUUGCCCUGCUCGUUCCCUCUGCCGCAGUGGCCAGUGAUGGUCCAGAUCACCCUGGGGCCUGAAGUGAAGACAGUGUGGAGACACAGCCAACUCCCAACGGCCCUUGAGCAUGGAAUGAACUUCUUUUGUGUUAAGAAAUUAGGAGUCAUUUGUUCCUGCAGCAAAACCUCUCCCAUCCCGACUGCAUCAUGGCAUACCUGAAACGACAUUUGAUGUCAAUGAAAGUUCUGGCUAACUGGAAAGUUACAUACAAAUGGUGGAGAAUGGAUUGGCAGGAGGGAGACAGAAAACAGGAAGAACUGAUUGUUGGAGUAUUCUGUAAUUUCUAAGGAAUUGCUUCAAAUGCUAAGGAACAAGUGUAAAAUAAAAGCUUUGAAGAACUGACUCUACUUGCUGAGAACCAAAGAGCAUGAAUUUCUGUUCCAAAAAAUGCCAUUGAAAGUAGGGCAGAAGGCAACACUCAUCCCAUGGGACACCCCUCAGCACGUAGUGUCCGCAGGCUCCCCUCUGUCUCCCAGGCUCCCUCGCGAGUGCGUGGGUGUGUGCACCUAGUUCUGGCCAAAGCACUGAACAGAAGUGAUGUGUCCCACUCUGAGCUGAGGCAGCUUGGAGUUUUCCCUUCCCUACCGUGGUGACUCGGAGGCCAUGUGUUCCAGAAGACAGAGCUCCGAGACGGAAGAGCGUUGCCUGACCACAAUGAGACCUCA